rnacentral:piRNA from 1 species
UGGCAUCACACAGUAGGAUCACAGUCCUGUU